rnacentral:rRNA from 1 species
CAAUAGCGUAUAUUAAAGUUGUUGCAGUUAAAAAGCUCGUAGUUGAAUUUCGGGUCCCCGCGCUCGGCGCUUCAUUGUGCCGUCGUGGUGUCCCUCCUCGCCGUAAGGCGUCCUUUACUGUGAAAAAAUUAGAGUGUUCAAAGCAGGUAAUCGCUUGAAUACAUUAGCAUGGAAUAAUAAGAUAGGAUCUUGUCUAUUUUGUUGGUUGCGGACAACGAUAAUGAUUAAUAGGGAUAGUUGGGGGUGUCCGUAUUGAGCUGUCAGAGGUGAAAUUCUUGGAUUUGCUCAAGACGAACUACUGCGAAAGCAUUCACCAAGGAUGUUUUCAUUAA